UUCACAGUCGUUGUUUGCGGAUGUAGCAUCAUCAAGAUUCACAUGCAAACGAAGGUGGAUGGGACUGUGAUGCAAUCUAACCGCUCGUCUUUUUGAUGUGAGAAUCUUGAUGAUGCUGCAUCAGCCAUAAACGACUUUAA
rnacentral:pre_miRNA from 1 species